rnacentral:lncRNA from 1 species
UGGGUAUUGGGUGAGUUAAAAUAUGAUCAAAGUAACCAUGGUUUAGUAAAAGUAACUAUGGUUAAGUUACUUUAUGGUUUAUGCUUUUUCUAUAUAUAAAAGAGGGUGUUUGGUGAGAGGGGUAUCGAAAAAUUAGAGAGUUGUUGUAGAUAAAGUCUAAUGGCUCCUUUCUUUGUAUACCAUUUCUGAGUAAUAAUAAACAUAUCAUCUUUAAUUAUCUUUAUUGUUAC